GGUUGCGAUCAUACCAGCACUAAUGCACCGGAUCCCAUCAGAACUCCGCAGUUAAGCGUGCUGGGCAGAGUAGUACUAGAUGGGUGACCCCCUGGGAAGUCCUCGUGUUGCAACCC
rnacentral:rRNA from 1 species